CCGCGCUUUGAGCCUAACUUCGAAGGGGCGGUGAGCCACAGCAAGCCGGAGGAGAAAGUUGGAAGAGAGAGUGGACAAAAGAAUACCCACAGGCACCUUCCCCACAGUGGAAUAGCGGGGUUUUAGACAAUCAAGGAUAAUCACCUCUUCCUAUCCCAGUUCAGAAACGGAUGAAAAAGACACAGCAAUAAGAUGGCCUCUAGGCCAUGAAACUGCCUCACCAAGCACUAUGCAAUUGAGUGCCCACCAGAAGACACCCCUCCAGUCAACCCACAGACCCCAGAAAGAGUACCCAGAGGAGCCUGAGCACACUCCACCCUAUCUGUUCUCUGAAAUUCAAUCAAAUGAGUCACUCUACUUCUCUGGAAGCAGAAAGAGGCUGGAAGUUUUUCUCCAG
rnacentral:lncRNA from 1 species